GGGAGGCAGCAGUGGGGAAUAUUGCACAAUGGGCGCAAGCCUGAUGCAGCCAUGCCGCGUGUAUGAAGAAGGCCUUCGGGUUGUAAAGUACUUUCAGCGAGGAGGAAGGCGUUGUGGUUAAUAACCGCAGCGAUUGACGUUACUCGCAGAAGAAGCACCGGCUAACUCCGUGCCAGCAGCCGCGGUAAUACGGAGGGUGCAAGCGUUAAUCGGAAUUACUGGGCGUAAAGCGCACGC
rnacentral:rRNA from 1 species